rnacentral:lncRNA from 1 species
GAACACGCUUUAACGAUGAAUUACUUAAUAUUGGAUAAUCAUAAGCAAUCACUUUUAAAACUCAUGAGUAGACAACUUACAAUACACAACGACAAGUUGUCUAACUUUCAAGUGAUAUAAUUCUCAAAGCUAUUGUUUUAAAAUAUGUACAACACCUCAAUAAAGUAGAAUAGACUAAGUGUUGCAGCGGAAUAAUUCAUGUGGAUUACAUGUAUGAAGACAUGGAAUCCUGAGCCUGGUUUAAUACAUAUACAUCAAAGAAUUUACUCUGCUCGCUUCCAUCUGCACCACAGCUUAACCUGCAUAUUUAAAAACAUACGCAGGGCUGAGUACCAAAAAGCACUCAGUGGUCACAUGCCAAAUAACUUAAAAGCUUGCUCUUAGAGCUAUAUAUUGAACUUGCCAUCUCAAACAUCACACAGGAGUUUUAUUUAAAUAACCUGUGUAUGCAAAACUGUAAAACUUCUCUAUAAUCAUCAUAACAUCAUAUACGUCUGCAGACAAUUAACAUGUAUGUACCAUAUCUACGCAUCAUAUAACUCUGAGUGUUGAGAAGUAGGCCUCCUUCUCAAACAUGAUGACAAGCUAACACAAAGGUUAACUGUCAACUCUGUGUACACAAAUCCUGACUCGCUCAGGACCCGAAUUCGUUCUUCUAUGUAGAUGGUAUCAUACAAAUCUCAAAUAUUGGCAAGUCAAUAAUUGGAAAAUAAAUGCAUACACUCAAACUUUAUAUAAUAAAGUAUGCAUCUUUACUUCUUGAGUUAGUAAGCCCACCUGAUACGCUUAAUGAAAUAUAAGUCUUUGCUUGUUCAUUCUACACUGCCACUCGAACCUUCAUUAUAAUGAGGUUCCCAGGUAAGAUUGGAUAAUAAGUAAGUAAAUAGAAAGUAAAUCUUGAAUGAAACUUCUAUCACUUGAAAGUUGCAUCCUCUAAUCUGAGUAUUCUACUUAUAUGGACUUAACUAACUAAAAGCAAACAAUAACAUCAUAUCUCUUGGGAUAUCUCAAGUUGAAAAAGUAAGAGUAAACUAACCCAUUCUAUAUAGAUUAGCUUACAAUUAAUAACUAAAACAUCGAUUCAAGAAUUGACCAAUGACUUAAGCU